rnacentral:rRNA from 1 species
GACGAACGCUGGCGGCGUGCUUAACACAUGCAAGUCGAACGGAAAGGCCCCUUUGGGGGUACUCGAGUGGCGAACGGGUGAGUAACACGUGAGUAACCUGCCCUUGACUUCGGGAUAACUUCAGGAAACUGGGGCUAAUACCGGAUAGGAAUCCUUGCUGCAUGGUGGGGGUUGGAAAGCUUCGGCGGUUUUGGAUGGACUCGCGGCUUAUCAGCUUGUUGGUGGGGUAGUGGCUUACCAAGGCUUUGACGGGUAGCCGGCCUGAGAGGGCGACCGGCCAGUGUGGGGUGGGUGCACGGACGGGAACGCGGUGGGGGGGACCGGGGGGGAAUAGUUCACAACGGGAGGAAUCCUGAGGCAGACGCGGGGGGGGCGGUGUGACGGCUUGCGGGUUGAACCCCGCUUUGAGGGGGGGCGGAGGUUGGUGCGCCGGGACCUGAAGAAGACGCCCCGGCGCACUACGUGCCAGCAGCGGGGUUAAUAAGCGAAGCGCACACUUCUGAUC